UGCAGUCACGGGGGGUAGCAAUACCAACCGGCGAACGGGUGCGUAACACGUGAGCAACCUGCCUUUGUGUGGGGGAUAGCCGGGCUAACGCCCGGGUAAUACCGCAUACGGUCAUCCGGGGGAGUCCCUGGGUGAAGAAACCUCCGGGGCACAGAGAGGGGCUCGCGGCCUAUCAGCUAGUUGGUGGGGUAAUGGCCCACCAAGGCGACGACGGGUAGCUGGUCUGAGAGGAUGGCCAGCCACAUUGGGACUGAGAGACGGCCCAGACUCCUACGGGAGGCAGCAGUGGGGAAUCUUGCGCAAUGGCCGAAAGGCUGACGCAGCGACGCCGCGUGUGGGAGGACGCCUUUCGGGGUGUAAACCACUGUUGCCCGGGACGAACAGCCUGUUUCGACAGGCCUGACGGUACCGGGUGAGGAAGCACCGGCUAACUCCGUGCCAGCAGCCGCGGUAAUACGGAGGGUGCGAGCGUUGUCCGGAAUCAUUGGGCGUAAAGGGCGCGUAGGUGGCCUGUUAAGCGUGCGGUGAAAGCUCGGGGCUCAACCCCGAGUCGGCCGUGCGAACUGGGAGGCUGGAGCACUGUAGAGGCAGGCGGAAUUCCGGGUGUAGCGGUGGAAUGCGUAGAGAUCCGGAAGAACACCGGUGGCGAANGCGGCCUGCUGGGCAGUUGCUGACACUGAGGCGCGACAGCGUGGGG
rnacentral:rRNA from 1 species